GCUUAGAAGUAAACGGGUGGAGCUGCCAUUACGUCUACUGGAUUCAGCUUGUCGGUAGCAGACUGCUUUCUCUUGAUCGCAAGACAGGAGUGUGGUUCUGGUUUGUUGCCGGUAGGUGCAUUUUCGGUAGAAGUGCGCCACGACCAACUGGAACGUCAGCUAAAGGCCGGAGUGAUUGCCGUCUGUGAGCUUGCUUGCAGUGCCCCGUCCUCCGAGUCGGCUAGAUUGGUCCGGUUGAGUAAACGACCGCACCCGCUUGUCACAGGUUAUCCGGUUUGGGGUCGCCGAAUGCCUAGCUGUGCACGCACGGCUGGGUGUACCCUGGUUUCAAAGCCGGAUAAUGCUGAGAUGGUGCAUAUGGUCAGUGGCGUCCGUGUCAGCCAACCACCCGACCCGUCUUGAAACACGGACCAAGGAGUCUAACAUGUGCGCAAGUCAUUGGGUUGCAAAACCUAAAGGCGUAAUAAAAGUGAAGGUUAGCUUCCGCUAGCUAAGGUGGGAUUCUUGGCUUGACCGAGACGCACCACCGUCCCAUCGCAUCUGCUUGCCAGAGCGGUGGAGAAAGAGCGUACACGUUGGGACCCGAAAGAUGGUGAACUAUGCCUGAGCAGGAUGAAGCCAGAGGAAACUCUGGUGGAGGUCCGUAGCGGUUCUGACGUGCAAAUCGAUCGUCAGACUUGGGUAUAGGGGCGAAAGACUAAUCGAACCAUCUAGUA
rnacentral:rRNA from 1 species